UAACGCAGCUAACGCAUGAAGUAGACCGCCUGGGGAGUACGGUCGCAAGAUUAAAACUCAAAUGAAUUGACGGGGGCCCGCACAAGCGGUGGAUUAUGUGGAUUAAUUCGAUGCAACGCGAAAAACCUUACCUGGCCUUGACAUGUAACGAACUUUCCAGAGAUGGAUUGGUGCUCGAAAGAGAACGUUAACACAGGUGCUGCAUGGCUGUCGUCAGCUCGUGUCGUGAGAUGUUGGGUUAAGUCCCGCAACGAGCGCAACCCUUGCCAUUAAUUGCCAUCAUUUAGUUGGGCACUUUAAUGGGACUGCCGGUGACAAACCGGAGGAAGGUGGGGAUGACGUCAAGUCCUCAUGGCCCUUAUGGCCAGGGCUUCACACGUAAUACAAUGGUCGGUACAGAGGGUUGCCAAGCCGCGAGGUGGAGCCAAUCCCAGAAAGCCGAUCGUAGUCCGGAUUGUAGUCUGCAACUCGACUACAUGAAGUCGGAAUCGCUAGUAAUCGCGGAUCAGCAUGUCGCGGUGAAUACGUUCCCGGGCCUUGUACACACCGCCCGUCACACCAUGGGAGUGGGUUUUACCAGAAGUA
rnacentral:rRNA from 1 species